GACAAGUAGGCACUGAUUUUUCCGUUUCUGGGCCAAGACGGUGGUACUUUUACAACUGUAAGCCCAGGGCGUUGAAGUCGCUUGCUGGAGAUCACACAGCUGAUAACCACGAAGGUAGAUUCUCACAGUUUCGAACUCCAGAGUCUUCGUGGGUACCCCUUCGGCUGUGUCUUCAGAGCCUGAAGUUCUACAUUCCUUUUCUAUUGGCUCCCUCUCCCUCCUGCUCCGUUGGCCAGAGAAUGGAGGACCUGCCCUGCUAGAUCCGGGUGUUUCUUGGGAGUGGGGGUGUCCCUGGGAGGUAUCUGCGGUUGGGAGCAGAGGGCCGCCAGAGUCGCCCUGUGCUCUGAGCACUGCGCUGCCAGGACGCACGCUCCGGUAAACCGUUUAUCUAAAGACAACUUCUGUUUCUCGUUCCUUGUCUGGAGUUGCCCUGUAGCCAGUAAUGAAAAAUGCGCCCUUU